rnacentral:rRNA from 1 species
UACGGAGGGUGCGAGCGUUGUCCGGAAUCACUGGGCGUAAAGGGCGCGUAGGCGGCUUGGGAAGUCUGUGGUGAAAGCUGUGGCUCAACUGCGAGUCGGCCAUAGAUACUCCUAAGCUCGAGUCGACUAGAGGCAGAUGGAAUUCCGGGUGUAGCGGUGGAAUGCGUAGAGAUCCGGAAGAACACCGGUGGCGAAGGCGGUCUGCUGGGGUCGAACUGACGCUGAGGCGCGACAGCGUGGGGAGCAAACAGG